CGCCCAGUAGGCUCUGCCCAGGACCCAGUCCCGUGCCUGCCGGAGGGGCAACGCUUGGCUAGGGCCGGGGGCUGUAGGCUGGGAGCCGCCCGGCCCUGCUGAGCUGCCCGCGUUCGCAGACAUAGGCGCUGCCAGAAGCUAAUCAUCAAGAGCAUUGGUUCCAGAUGAUGCCCUUUGAAAAUUUUGAAUAUUGUCGAAUGGGGAUGAGUGGCAGUCCUUUUACCCAGUCAUGGCAUGGUGGUACAGAAGUCUCACAAACUGUUGUAAAACAGCAUCUCACCUAAAGUUUAGAAAUACUCUGAUUCCAAGGUGUUUCUUAACCAGACAAUGAGAGUGAGUUUUGAACAUAUUCCUCCUCUCUCCAAUGUCAAAUAAGUGCUGUUUGAGGCACUAUGGAUGGAGAUCAGGUGGGCAUAUUCCACAUCUUUCCAUUUAGAAGAAAAGGAGCUGCUGACAGGAUAUUCUGCAGAAGGCUGCUCAACUUUGGAAUUUGCUCAUGUCCUACAGGAGAUGCGUGAUGGCAGGCAUUAGAGGCGCUGGAUCCUUUCUGUCUGUAUUCAUAGUAUGUGCUUUAGCAAGCAGACAAUCCAUUCAUCAGAAAAUUGGUUGGCAUAUGGAACUCUGCUAGAAGCCAAAAGAGUCGGUAUGUGCCAUACUGAAGCCCCCCUCCUACUCAGCUCUAUUCUGCAGGACCAAACAAUUAUGGAGGUGUAAAAGCAAUUCUUAUUAGCAGUUACUCCAACCAAGAGCACAGUAUUAAUGACAAAUCCUUUCAGUCACAGACAUGCAAACUCAGGACAAACAUUUGUUUGGACAUUUACGCUCUUAGCGAUCACAUUUUAUGCUCAUAGAUAAUUGCUUGAAUGCUUACUCUUCUACCCACCGGUUUUUAUUGUGUGUUGCCAGGUGAAACAGUUUCAUUGGAGUAGAGAUGCCAAGUUCGUAGGGUCAUUUUAGAAGUCUGAGUAAUGGGUCUGGUAUAAGGAAGGAAUUGGUUAGCACACGAGACCAGGAUCCAGGACCCCUGGGUUCUCAUCUCAGCUCUGCUACUGAUUUAACCUUUCUGUAUCUCACUUUAUCAGUCUGUAAACCUGUGUAUAAUACUUGCCUACUCUGAUGCUUGCCAGGGGUACCUAAGGCUGUGAGGCACCUUGCUACCCCUGCCCUUAGCACAAGGAAGCCUUGUCCUGUGUCUGCCAUGUGUCAGCUCCACAACUCCACUGUCCACAGGCAACACAAGCACUUCCCUCUAGGUCUCGCAGGCCUUGCUAUCACUCCACAGGUUAGUGAUGGGCACAUUCCAACCCUCAAGCCCUCUGAACAUCUGGAGUGUCCAGCCCCUGGGCCACUGGAUGCUCACAGUAUUCACAGUUUCACUGCUUCCAAUGAAACAAUACACCUCAGCUUACCACUUGCACCUCAGAUCACUGCUCUGCUUUACACACAGCACUUAGAUCUAUUUAUAGUGAAAUCAAGCCUCAGUUUAUUUAACAGAGCAUAGAGAAUCAAGUGGUAGCAAGUAGAAGUAUGCAUUCUGGAGCCUAUACUUAAUUAACCAGAUACUCUCAUGGCUUGUACGAUAUUGCUCACCGAAAAUUCGUGCAGCGCUUUUCAGUCAGGCUGGCUGUGAUUCUCCUUUCCUGAGACAAACUUCACUGUCGGUUUGCCUUCUAAGUGAAGAAUUCAUUGUGUCUUACUGCACUCCAAGAAACAGCAGACAUGUCCUUUGUCUUUAUUCAUAUACAGGACACCCCCUUGUUGUUUGUUUGUUCCUGUAGAUUUCUUCUUGUAGAUUUCACAUUCACUCAGUUCACACCUGGCUGCGUAUACAAAUAGGCAUGCAGUGUGAGGCACACAGUACACAAAUGGCCAGACAGGCAGAUGGGUGUCAGUUACCUUCUACCUGAAAGGAACAUUUCAGAGGUAUGUCACCUCCUGGUGACCUGCCUUAACUCCAAGACCUUAAGACCAUAAUUUUCAAUAUAGAUACAUUACUUCUUAAAUAUUAUCUAUGCAUACAUUUCAUAAUGAUUAUGAUGACCAACUGGAUCUUGGCUCUUGGUAGAGACCUGGCAUGCCCCCUUUUGGUGAACUAUUAUGCAAAUAUCCAACCCAUGGAAUCCUUGUAAAACCCUAUGCACCUUCUGUGUCCUCUGCCAAAUUAAUUUGGCAUCAAGUGGUCAUUGGGUCACACCUACUUUACAGAGAGGUUGUGAACCUUAAGUGAUGUUUGUAAAUUUCCGUGAGCUCUUUGGAUGAAAGACACUACAGAAGUGUAUAUUAUUAUUAUUACUAUUAUUUAUUAGUUUAUUAUUGCUACCAUUUUAUAAUGCCUCAUCUUUGCAGCAGCAGCAGUUGGAUUCCCAGGCCAUAUUAAUGAUAAAUUUUACUUUCUACAAUUGACCACCUCUUGAUGCUUAAUAUUUUUAUUUAUAUAUUUAUUUCAGUUUCUAACAAAGCCAUGCAGUGCUUUCCAAUAGUUUAUUGGAAUGCGCAUGUACAUCAAAUAAAAUAUUUCACAUACACAUUUUCAGAACAUUAAUAUAAAAGUCUAACCCAUAACAAAAUCAAGCCAUUCAGCUAAACCAAUGGAAUAAACAAAUCCCACUUUCUGCUUCAAAGCUGAUUUCUUCACCUGUCCUCACCCACCUUGAAUGUGGGGGGGGAAGAGAGACUUUGCAACCUACUUUUAUGGAAUGCCCAGGGCACUUAAAGCUGCUUUCCAUUGUCAAUAUGAUGGCCAGGAUCUGUAAAACCAGUGCGGGUCACGUCAGACUCAGGCUCCAGUCUUGGUUUCCUGCUCUGUUCUUCCUCCAUGAGACAUAGAUCGUGCUUAGACGUGCAUUGCCAAAGCGCGUCCCAAAGACUAUCAGUUUUUCUCUCUCAAAUUCUCUUUUCCAAACUGCCACCUUCUUCUAGAACUUCCCCUGUGUUCCCGAAGCAUCGCUCACUGACUGCUACUGUUUUCUAGGACCACCUUCCCAGUUCCUGUUAACUUGUUCUAACACUGAUUAACUGCUAAAGGUGUAAUCAGCUCAUAGAAGUUAUAGAUAUGGGUAAUGGUCAGGUAGAUUAACGACCAUGAAUAAUAUCAGUUGUUAGUUAUGGUUAAUGAAAUGUCAACAACGUUGGACCAUCUCACAAGAUAUUAAAUCAUUGGAUAAAUAAUUUAAAUUAGACAAUUUUUCACAUUGUUGAGGAUCUGUGUUUAUACACAGCAAAGUGAUAUCUGUUUAGAAAGCUGAGCUUUUUUAGCAAUAUUACUGUUAAUGAAUUUGUAAGCCAACACAGCUUUUUAAAAAAUAGCAACCAUCAGUCGAAUGGAUUACUAUGAACGCUAGCCAACUAUGCUUCAGAUUAGGAGAUCAAAACUAAAAAGAGAGAGAGAGCCAACAACAUUUCUAUAAUAUUUGCUGUCUCUCCAGUAGUGGCUUACAGAGAAGAAGAAAAGCUCUUUGUAUCUGGAAAGCUUGUCUCGCUCACCAACAAAAGUUGGUCCAAAAAAAGAUAUUACCUCACCCAAUCUGUGUAUCAGAGUAAAAGAAAGUCAGUUAUCUGGCUGGUGAAACUUGCCCAUAUGCUCAGGGUUUAGCUGAUCGCCAUAUUUGGGGUCGGAAAGGAAUUUUCUUCCAGGGCAGAUUGGAAGAGGCCCUGGAAGUUUUUCGCCUUCCUCUGUAGCAUGGGGCAUGGGUCACUUGCUGGAGGAUUCUCUGCUCCUUGAAGUCUUUAAACCACAAUUUGAGGACUUCAUUAGCUCAGACAUAGGUGAGAGGUUUUUUGCAGGAGUGGGUGGGUGAGAUUCUGUGGCCUGCGUUGUGCAGGAGGUCAGAUUAGAUGAUCAUAAUGGUCCCUUCUGACCUUAAUAUCUAUGAAUCAGUUAUUUUUAGGAAAAUGUACAUUGCAUUGGAAACACAGAGAAAAUUAACCAGGGGACAUAUUUAUCCCUGAUCUAACUGUACUGAAAUCAAAAGGCAUGAAUUUGGUUCAUAUAUCAGACUUCAGACAGAUCUUACAUAUAUAUCAAAAUUCCCACACGCCUCUUCCACUGCCUCACUGAUAUGCAUCCUGCAUAUCAUUAGCCACAUCAUUCACACUUUGUUAUGCUCAUCAUUUAUUGUGACCUCUGAAUUAAAGGCACAACUAACUUCUAUAUAAAACACAUCAGUAGUGAGAGCUAUGUUGACAGCUUGUUACUGAACAGCCUACAGCAGGAGUUGUGACUUAGAUGUGGAAGGUGAGUGCAGCUGGAUGGUCCUUAGUGCGUGACUUGAGAGAGAAUGGGUCCCAUUGUGGUCUCAGAUAAGCUUAGAUCCAUUGAUUUCACUGGAGAAAGUCAGAUCAGAAUCAGGCGUAAUAUCUCUGAUUACAUCAGAGAACAUUGUUAGACUCCUGUGAUAUACAAUAAGGCAAUCGAGGUCCUGCCUCACCUUCUGCACUGUGACUGUCCAGGGAAGUGCAUGCUCCUUUGAAAGUAUUUAGCCAUUCCUGCACCUUCAUGUUCUGCCUCAUAGAUCCUGGAGGUGUUUUGCUUGCAGGAAGAAUGUCUCCAGCCAUGACGGCGGGUGUGGUGUCUGUCCACCAGUGCUGCAGCGGUGCUGACACAAUUUGAUGCUUAAGCUUUACAAGGACCUUCGGGAAAACUGGAACACUGAAAAAGCCUGAUUUUUCUACACAGUGCACAUUUGCUGUCCCUCCUGUUGUCUGAGCAGUAUUAUUGUGACAUCAGAGAUAAUCAGCCACUCCGCACUCACUCCCAUCACUUCAUUUGCACACCUGGGGAGAGUCACUAUUGCCCUGGUUGCACUGGCAAUGGCUGCCUUUAAUAAUUGAUUUACCUCUGACUGCCCAGAACAUGAUUACAGGAGGGACUAUAAGGAAAGCAGGCUGAGCUUGGCUAAGCACCUUCUGUGCUCCUCUAGGUUUGUACUGGGUGUCCAUUAAAGCUGCAAGAACCAGUGUGUGACCCCGCAAAAAUACUCACUCUCGUUCUCUGUCUGCCACAACUCCUACCAUCCUGGGGGAGAAACCUGCAGAAAUCAGCCAUGGACACAGGAAGAAAGGAAAGAACUUCAGCGGGAGUUUACCUGAGUGCGGAGUCAAGCCUGGACUCUCUGCAUGCUGUUUCUGUACUAGUUUAAUGAAAUAUGGGAAUUGAUAGAACGUGUUAGAAACUUCAAACGUCUUACUUCUUCCUCCUGCCCCAUCCAGGUCUCUUCCCAACUUUUCCAAGUUAUUAUCCAAGAAUCAUCAGAGAAAGCCCAAGCAUCCCUUUUGCUCCCACUUUUGCUUCUGUGUGUGGGGGAACAGCACCACUGCAGAAGAUUCAUGCAUUCCCCUUGGAUGAGUCUGAUUUAUCCACUGAAUCUGUGAUCAGUCAGAAAUCCACAGCUCCAUGAUAUGGUGUGGAACUGAUGAUCGCUUUUCUGUUCUUCACACUACUGGAAAAUUUGAUUUGGGCAACCUCGUAUUACAGAGACACAUGCUCUCCAUGGGGCUGAGUGGAAUACUAGGCAGUCAUGACAGUACCAGCCAUCGUCUCCAGAGACCUUUAAUCCCUGACAAAUCUUUUCUUCUUGAAAGAAACUGUGGGUGGUCUCCCUUUUUUCUAAUUUCGGUAAAUUUAGUACAUCACUUUCUAGUUAUGCAGCUGAUGCUCAUGUUUGUAUGAAUAGCUAUUAAAAAAAGGAAAGAUCAGAUGUUUGUUGUUUCAUUUCCAACAUAAAUCAAACUUUGUAUUCACAUUUCAAUUCUAGUUUAGCCCCAGGAAUAGCUUUAGUAUUGCUAAGUGUCUGGAGACUAUUGACUACAGAGACAUGUUUUUAAGCAGGCUAUAAUAGUUUCUACAGCUGUUAACAGUUCAUAGAAGAAUGGCAGCAUUAUUCAUCAGUGUUUAAAAUGUGCAUGACUUGCAUUGCACAGAAGUCAGAUUUAGAGAAUGUCAGAAUUUUUUUCUGAAACUCUGCCAGGAAAGUCUUCAAUAACUAGAGAAAUUCUUUUCACUGGUGAAAUCAACAUGCAGCACAUUGUGUUGUUAUAAUUGCUUAGAGCUCACCAUGAAAGUUGUCUUUGUAUGUGUGGAUGUACGGCUAGUACUGUUUUGUUUUUAUUUAUUCUGCAUUCUUUAUUUUAAUGUUCUUUCCUUUUUUCCAGACCAGAAAGAUUGUUAUUGAGCUCUUCACAGAGCUGAAAUAAUGCUGUGUGUUAAAAAAUGUUAACAAUUUGAAGAAGUUAUAAAAAUUUAUAAGUUGGAUGAGUA